ACUGAGGUAUCAAAAUUGGCACCGGAUCGAAAGAUUUUGAAUGAUACCCAGCCCUAUCAAGUUCUGAGGUUUAGUAUUAAACUUUAGUUCAUGUACAUAUGGCUUAUUUUACUUAAACAUUGCAGAUGUAUUGAUUAAUACAUAUUCUUGGAUACAAUCCUGCAGAGAACAGAGGCAUUCGGAGAGACCAUCACUUCAAAUGGAAAUGACCAGCUUGAAGGGGGAUCCAUACUGAUAAGGAUAAACAGCGGGUCCAGGACUUGGCCCAUGCCUGGGACCUCCCUUGCCUAACUGAGAAAAACAGGAGAUGGAUUUUUGAGAAGCUAUUGAUCCAUGCUGUACUUCAGCAACUCACAUGGCCUCGUGAGGAUAGUGACGAUGAUAAAGUUGACACCAAAUGCCGCAUAUCAGGCUAUCUUCGACAGUUCGUUGCUGAUGCAACACCAACUGAACUGACCGACCUGGUCAAAUUCUGGACCGGAUGGGAGAUUCUACCACCGAGUCUCUCUGUAGAAGUGGUCGAGGGCAGAUACCCCACAGCCGCCACUUGCUUUGAGACCUUGCACAUCCCAGGGCAUUACAAGGAUUACACAUCUUUUAAAUGUGACAUCCUGGUCUGUAUUUGCAGUUGCCAUACAGGAUUUGACUUGUAUUUACUUGAUUGUCCCUGCUUGUUAAUUCUGUUAAAAGAUCUGUUGUAAACUCUCACGCUCAAAGAAACCUUCAGGAACUUGUUAAUGUAUACUGAAUAUAAUUUCACACUGUUACUGAGAGUACUUUGCAGUAACCUUUGGCAAUAAAUGGUCAGUUCAUUGAGGUAAACGUCUGACUCUGAACUCCUGUGAAGCCCUCAUAACCAUUGAAAAGGUUCAUGAUCCUUUCACACGGUGUAAGGGGACUGACAGCAAAAGAGAAUAAAUGGCAGUAAAAAUUAGAAAAGGUUAUUAACCCUUUCUUCCCGUCGACCAUGCACUUGUCCUCCCGGGUCAAAAUUGACCCGGUCUGUUUGUCCAGUUUAUAAAGCAUGAAGUAUAAAUUAUCACCCAAUUCUGUUUUACAUCUUCUUAGCCAACUUCUUUCCAACCUAUUAUCACUAGUUUGCACUUAUUUUAAUAUAUGGUCAAAAUACCGCAGUUGUAUAAAAUUAUACCUCAUUUCUGAGUAAAAAAAAAAGCUGAAAUGAAUUAUUUUGACUAACUUGAGAUAAACCGGAACAUAUGUUGAUGGGUUAGCACAGACUGGUAUAAGUCAAAGUUUAGUCAGGAUACUGUUUUGAA